AGCUCGCCAGAGGAAAAAGGAAACAGAAACUCCGCAACUUGCGCCUUGGAAAUACUGCCGGCUAGCGCUGCGGGAAACGGCUCCCCUUAACUCUGAAGUUCCGCGAUCUUCUCUUUGUGCGCGGGCGGAUGGAUCAACGCCGCCAAGUGGGGAAAGCGCGAAUGCAGUCCCCCACUACAACAAAUUAUGCAGUCGAGUUUUCCACAUUUGGGAAUAUCACAGGGGUCAGCACAUCCGGAGUGCAAUCGAUGAGCCCCACGCUGGGAAAAACCACCUUCGUGAUCAUGGUAUCUUCCCUGCCAGAGAGAAACCAAUCAGCUUCAUUUUCAACUUCUUCUAUGACUCCAGAGGAUUCACUUUGCAUCUUGUGACAAAUGAAUAUAUUACCUGAAAAAAAAAUGACAGGAUAGAUAUUGAAGAAAUAAUUUUUUAUAGGACUCUGGAGUGAAGGGAUUAAUAUUGACCAGAGCCAAUGAGGUCAUCUCAUCCUUGAGGGGAGCAGGUGUGAGCUUCAAAUGCUUAGGGCCUCUGGAAGGAAGCUUCCCUGUUGGAGAAAUCACCAACCGGCUCAGCAUGGUCUGAAUGAGGAUGACAAAAGGAGUUGCUGCACAGGGGGAAAGCGAAGUUCCCAGGAGUAAGAUGUGCAAGAAGCGGGCAGCCUUGCAUCUCAGGGCUGAGUUCCCUCAACUGUGUGCUUGAGGGAAGUUCUCCCCUUGCAGACACACUGCUGAGUGAUAAGGAAGCACCUAGACUCCACUCUGACCAGACUUGGUUCUGAGGCCUAUGAAAUGUUGAUGGGAAGAACAGAAGCAGGAAAAUCUAUCUAUUCAAAUUUGCAAGACGUGGAAACUUUUAUUCACCUUCCUGGUUAGACUGUUCCUUUGUCAAAGUAAAGCUAAGGCCAUGGAAAAUGAGCUAUUUGAGAGUUUGUCGCUCCAAGGAAGAACAUGCUGGCCUAAUUGUCCCCCAAGUCAGGAGAGAGAAUUGUAAAAAACACUUAAACAGGCCUAAGUAAAGGUCCAGCACAUUAUUUAUUUAAGACUGAAUUAGAACUGAGUCAUUCCGACUCUGAAAAAAGAGUGUUGUUGGAUUCUUAUGUAUUUAAUGGGUCUGCCCUAUUGAAAACCAUUGUGAAGUAUGGUUUCCCAAGCAAGAAAUGACACUUUCACUGUCAGUCUUUCUAGGAGUCUGGCAGAAUCCAGGACCGGGAUUACCCUUAUUUAUGAAGCGACCUUAGACUAACAGUGGCUCUCUGGGUCUCCAGACAAUUGGCCAGGGACUCUAAAAACCAGAAACAAAGUUGAGAGAACUCCAUGCUGGUGGAGAAAAACAGCUGGCCUUUAUCACCAGAAUGUGCCCCAUAGAAGCAGCAAAGCAGCAAGCGACGUUCUUAAACAAGGGCCUGUGGGCCUCGUCAAGAUCUGGAGGAAUCAUCUACGACUCACUGCUGAGUGAGAGGGCUAGGCAGUGUCUUUAAGGUCCUGCCAGCUUUAACAUUGUAUGCUUUUUCUUUUGUUCAAUCUCUCACCACAACUGGAAGUGUUGCCUCAACUACACAGGAGAAAGUUUGCAGUAACUUAGAGAAAACAUUAUUUUAAUCACCAGUGUAUGUUCUCCUGCUCCCUGGACAAAUCCAUCAGCAGCGGCAACACUGACCAGGUCCAGAUUGGGGCCGCUGCGGUGGAUGUGAAUCCAUUGAAACUAGGGGUCUCCAGUGCUCCUGACUCCUCACAGCUCUGUUCCUAUGACAAGGAUGGUCAGCAAAGCCAGCAACCUUGAAGGGGGACCUUCUUCUAAUCUCCUCCCUGCCUGCUGAGAGAGUGUACAGAAGCAGCCACUUGUCAGCUGCGAUGAAUCCAAUGAUAAUUACAUAAAUCAUUAACAAUACUUGAUAUUUGCCCAUCACAUUUCUCAUUUCAAAGUGCUCAUAAAAUUGUAUCUCAUGGGUGGCACUGCCGGCACAACAGAAUUCCAAGGAAGGAUUACGGGCUAA
ensembl:lncRNA WEE2-AS1 WEE2 antisense RNA 1